UACGGAGGGUGCAAGCGUUGUCCGGAAUCACUGGGCGUAAAGGGCGCGUAGGCGGCUCAUGAAGGCUGUGGUGAAAGUCCGGGGCUCAACCUCGGAUCGGCCGUGGCGACUCGUGGGCUGGAGCACUGUAGAGGCGGGUGGAAUUCCGGGUGUAGCGGUGGAAUGCGUAGAUAUCGUCUGGAACGCCAAAGGUGAAAACAGCUCGCUGGGGUUGUGCUGACGCUGAGACACGAAAGCCAGGGGAGCGAACGGG
rnacentral:rRNA from 1 species